rnacentral:tRNA from 1 species
GGUGCUGUGGCUUAGUGGGUAAAGCUCAUGCCUGCAUUGCCCACAUCCCAUAUGGGCGAUGGUUCGAAUCCUGGCUGCUCCA